UGCGGUCAAACUAGACAUUUUAGCAGGGUAAUGCCAACAAUCUGUCCGGACGAAAAUAUUGCUGCAUAACUUUACAAAUACAUUUGGCUAAUCAACAUCAGUAAAAUGUGGCAUAAUUACUUAGUAAACCAUCUUGCAAGAAGCAUAAACUCACAGCGUAGGAAGGACUUGUCGAUUGCCAUUUGAAGUUCCUUUGAGUAGGAUUCGGAUUCUGGCAACCUCAGUCAUGGAGACUGAGAAGGAACUACAGAAUUUUACCUGUGAUUGCAGUACCAUUUCUGGACACAUUACUACAUAUGGCAUCUUUAAGAAGUUAAAAUUAAAGUUAAAGUACCAAUGAUUGUCACACACACACACAUACUAGGUGUGGCGAAAUGAUUCUCUGCAUUUGACCCAUCACCCUUGUUCACACCCUGGGAGGUGAGGGGAGCAGUGAACAGCAGAAAUGGCAGCGCCUGGUAAUCAUUUUUGGUGAUUUUGUUAUGGGUCACACUCCUGCUUCCUCUCUUCCUGUUAUGUCUCCUCCUGCUGGCCGUCCGGACAAGCACACCACGGGCCACUCCCACAUGUGCUCUCUCUCCGCUGCGGGCAUGCCUCCUCGCACCUGCAAACACUCACCAAACUACACACCUGCCUGUGAUGAGCGAGCUGCCUUCAAGAUCAGACGCAGCCUGAGAUCCGACACGAGAACGUAGCUUCACGUACCCAGUACACCUCCCGCCAUCCUUCCUUGUCGUCGAGUUGUGUGUCUCGUCACCUUGGACCUCCCGUGGAUUUUCCCUUGCCUUACUGGACAUCGACCUCACGCCUGCCUAACGACCACGAAACCAAGCUCCUGCCCUUGACCAUCUGCCUGCUCCCCGACGUUCGAUUCCUCCUUGCUGGACUUCCGCCUGGAUCCCAACACGCAUCCUCAACACCCUCUGGCAACCAUACUCAGAUAAGUCUCACACUUCGUGACACUACAUCUCUUUGGUUAAAUACACAUCUCACUCACACACUAAACUGUCAUUAAAUACGCUGACAGCUAACGACGUCAUCGUUCCUCUGCCGUCUUCUUCUCCCGUUGUACCGUCCCAGAUUUAACCCCCAAUUCCAACCCUUUAUGCUGAGUGCCAAGCAGGGAGGUAAUGGGUCCCAUUUUUAUAGUCUUUGAUAUGACACGGCCGGGGUUUGAACUCACAACCUACCGAUCUCAGGGUGGACACUCAAAGUGUAAAUGGAACCAAGUUACAGCAGAAGUCAUACUUUAUUCAUAUAGCACUUUUUAUGCACAGGCAAAUGGCAAUAACAAAGUGCUGCACAAAUGUUUUUUCAUUUUACGUAAGCAGUUAUUAACAUGAAAUUAACACAUAGAUUUAUAAUCGUCUAGAGAGAGGAUAAUACAACCUAUGGAAACAAAUUACGGAAUCACCAGACUUGGCUCAUUAGUUGUUGAGUUUUGUAGAAACAAAGCGUGUAACAGAUAAGAUACAAAACUAUAGACAUUACUAAUGGCAACUUUCUGGCUAGAAAUCAAGCAGAUAAAUUGUGGUAGACAGUAACAGUUUCAUUUUUAGAUUACGCAGAGUGAAAAACAGAUGGAAUCACGAAAAACAAACAAAAACAAAUAUACUACAACACACCACAAGUACUUUGUUGCACCAAGUCUGGCUUUUAUAACAGCUUGCAGUCUCCGAGGCAUGGGCUUAACGAGGAACAAAAUACUCUUCUUUAGGGGUCAUAAAUGAGAUAUAUGUGAUAAUAGCUUCAAUAUAAAAGGAACUUGUUUUCCACUCUACUGGUACUUUAGGUUUGCUGUCUUGACACUUUGAUGUUUUUCCGUGGUCUACCAGCAUGCUUGCUUUUUACAAUAGACUGACCAUACGUCUUCUUUUCCCCGGACAUGUCCUCUUUUGUGGAACUGUCCGGGCGGGGUUUCUUAUAUGCCUCAAAUGUCCGGUGUUUUGUGUCAAGGUUGCAUGUAUUUUCAAUGUAUGUACAUGGUGAAGAGGGCUUAAAAACAAAACUAAUUGUAAAGGUGUCCGCACGCAGCAACAGUCGUGAGGGAGGGGUAGAGACGGAGAGAGCGAGAGAGCGAGAUAGUGGAACGAUUGUCAAUCAAGGCAUACUUGGUCAACACCCAUACAGGUCACACUGAGGGUGGCCGUAUAAACAACUUUAAUGCUGUUACAAAUAUGCGCCACACUGUCAACCCACACCAAACAAGAAUACAACAAACAUAUUUUGGAAGAACAUCCGCACCGUAACACAACAGAAAGAGUACCCAGAACUCCUUGCAACACUGACUUUUUCAGGAUUCUACAAUAUACACCCCCGCCCCACCCAUUAAACCCUGAUUACGUCACAUAAAAUAUUCCACUUUGAAAAAUAUUUUUGAUGGAAGAUUUUGCAUAUUUUGUGAGUUUGCCAUUAAAAAACAUAGUUUUGUUUGACAAAAAGGGUAGAAAUGUUGCAGCACAUGCGCAGUCCGCUUUUCCCUCUUCUGUAGGUGCACUCUGCAGCUCCUCUGUGAGUGCGUCUGGAGACGCCCACACACUCGCUGCGCAGACCGCGCCCACACGCCGCCACAGCCGGCGUCAAUCUUCAAUCUGCACAGCUGACGGGGAUUACAGACAACCAGAUAAAAGGACUCGCCGCUGAUCACUCGACGUUGGAACGUCGCUCUGCUCGCAUCUCGUGCAUUAUUGCUCAUUCCUCUUUCCCUGGACCCGGAUUGCCCUCUCGAUAUUGACACCUUGCUUGGACCUCAGACACUCUCUCCUGCACCACAAACCCUUUGGACAUCGGACUUCCCUGCCUCUUCCUUUGGAAUUUGGACUCUUUCAGUCUACACACUUGACAACACUCCUUAAAUUAUUUACAGAUAUUAAUCCCAGCACAUAACUCGCAUGCAUAACACAUAGUAGCAUACACAUCCCACGUAUUCAUCAAU